UAAUACGUAGGGUGCGAGCGUUAAUCGGAAUUACUGGGCGUAAAGCGUGCGCAGGCGGUUUUGUAAGCCAGAUGUGAAAUCCCCGGGCUUAACCUGGGAAUGGCCAUGGAAACUGGCGAGCUGGAGUCUGGCAGAGGGGGGUGGAAUUCCGCGUGUAGCAGUGAAAUGCGUAGAGAUGCGGAGGAACACCGAUGGCGAAGGCAGCCCCCUGGGCUAAGACUGACGCUGAGGCACGAAAGCGUGGGGAGCAAACAGGAUUAGAUACCCUGGUAGUCCACGCCCUAAACGAUGUCAACUGGGUGUUCGGGAAGCGAUUCCUGGGUACCGUAGCUAACGCGUGAAGUUGACCGCCUGGGGAGUACGGCCGCAAGGUUA
rnacentral:rRNA from 1 species